GCAUUUCACUCAACUGUGUCCGUUAAUCAAGAACGAAAGUUAGGGGAUCGAAGACGAUCAGAUACCGUCGUAGUCCUAACUAUAAACGAUGUCAACCAAGGAUUGGAUGAAAUUCAGAUGUACAAAGAUGAAGAAGCAUUGUUUCUUAAUCUGAGUAUAUCAAUAUUACCUUGUUCAGAACUUAAAGAGAAAUCUUGAGUUUAUGGACUUCAGGGGGAGUAUGGUCACAAGGCUGAAACUUAAAGGAAUUGACGGAAGGGCACACCAGGAGUGGAGCCUGCGGCUUAAUUUGACUCAACACGGGAAAACUUACCAAGACCGAACAGUAGAAGGAAUGACAGAUUAAGAGUUCUUUCAUGAUUUAUUGGGUAGUGGUGCAUGGCCGUUCUUAGUUGGUGGAGUGAUUUGUCAGGUUAAUUCCGGUAACGAACGAGACUGAAACCUAUUAAUUAGUUUUCUGCCUAUAAGACAGAAAUGUUCGCAAGAACAGGUGCGUAAGUACCACUUCUUAAAGGGACACAUUUCAAUUGUCCUAUUUUAAUUGUAGUUAUCUAAUUUCGGUUAGAGCUCUUUUAACGUGGGAAAAAGAAAAAGGAAGCAUUCAGCAAU
rnacentral:rRNA from 1 species